CCAGACUCCUACGGGAGGCAGCAGUGGGGAAUAUUGGACAAUGGGGGGAACCCUGAUCCAGCGACGCCGCGUGAGUGAAGAAGUAUUUCGGUAUGUAAAGCUCUAUCAGCAGGGAAGAAAGAAAUGACGGUACCUGACUAAGAAGCCCCGGCUAACUACGUGCCAGCAGCCGCGGUAAUACGUAGGGGGCAAGCGUUAUCCGGAUUUACUGGGUGUAAAGGGAGCGUAGACGGCAAUACAAGUCGGAAGUGAAAUCCCCGGGCUCAACCUGGGAACUGCUUUGGAAACUGUAUGGCUGGAGUGCUGGAGAGGUAAGCGGAAUUCCUAGGGUAGCGGUGAAAUGCGUAGAUAUUAGGAGGAACACCAGUGGCGAAGGCGGCUUACUGGACAGUAACUGACGUUGAGGCUCGAAAGCGUGGGGAGCAAACAGGAUUAGAUACCCGUGUA
rnacentral:rRNA from 1 species